UGCUUUUUAUAAUUUAAUGCGUAUAAUUUUAUUAGAGUUUAAGUUAUGAUAUUGGUUCCUUAUAUUUGCUGAAGGAUGGGACGCAUAAAAGUAGGAACACUCAAUGUCUUACCAUUAGAAUGAACCAAAUACAAAAGUAAGUGGUAUGAUCCUAAAAGUGAAUUUUGACUCUAAUCGUUAUCUUAUUAAAUUCCUCUCCUUGCAAAAUUAGAACUCUAAUAUUGAAGAGGUACCAUUUGGUUUCUAGAGAUUCAUAACAAGUAAUGAGAAUUUUCAGCUUACUCAUCAUUAAUCUCAUCAUCGGUGCUCAG
rnacentral:misc_RNA from 1 species